GCCCCCAUAGCUCAGCGAACAGAGCAGCGCCCUUCUAAGGCGAUGGCCCCAGGUUUGAAUCCUGGUGGGGGUG
rnacentral:tRNA from 2 species